rnacentral:snoRNA from 1 species
UGCACUGCAUGGUAUCUGCACCCAGCAGCCUGUUCCUGAUGGCGUGUUCAUAAAGCAGUGCCACAUUGACUCAGCACGUGGCAUCGUUGGUACUCAAGCUGGAGUGCUUGUUGAACCUGGUAUUUUUGUUGAGACAGAA